rnacentral:rRNA from 1 species
UACGUAGGGUGCGAGCGUUAAUCGGAAUUACUGGGCGUAAAGCGUGCGCAGGCGGUUUCACAAGCUCGAUGUGAAAUCCCCGGGCUUAACCUGGGAACUGCACUUGUGACUGCACAGCUGGAGUACGGCAGAGGGGGAUGGAAUUCCGCGUGUAGCAGUGAAAUGCGUAGAUAUGCGGAGGAACACCGAUGGCGAAGGCAGUCCCCUGGGCCUGUACUGACGCUCAUGCACGAAAGCGUGGGGAGCAAACAGG